GUGUCAGCCGCCGCGGUAAAACGUAGGUCCCGAGCGUUGUUCGGAUUCACUGGGUGUAAAGGGCGCGUAGGUGGUUGUCUGUGUCUCAUGUGAAAACUCAGGGCUCAACUCUGAGAUUGCGUGGGAAACUAGGCAGCUAGAGGACGGUAGAGGGGAGUGGAAUUCCCGGUGUAGCGGUAAAAUGCGUAGAUAUCGGGAGGAACACCGGUGGCGAAGGCGGCUUUCUGGACUGCAACUGACGCUGAGGCACGAAAGCUGGGGGAGCAAACAGGAUUAGAUACCCUGGUAGUCCCAGCCGUAAACGAUGGGUGCUAGGUGUUGGGGGGUAAAGACCCUUCAGUGCCGAAGCAAACGCGAUAAGCAUCCCACCUGGGGAGUACGGCCGCAAGGUUGAAACUUAAAGAAAUUGACGG
rnacentral:rRNA from 1 species